UAUCCUGUACUUCCUGUUGCAUCCCUGCUACCAGGAGCUGCACAGAGACUGCAUUUUCAACAAUAUCCACCUAUAAAUACUAAUGAAAGGUCUUUUUUCAGGCAAAAUUUAAUUCCACCUGUUUCUGCAUUGCAUCCCUGAGCUUAACUUUUUCAAAGUUUCAAAGGUAUUUGAGAUAAAUGUAUUUUACUAUAAAUUUACUUUCAAGAGAUAAUACAACCAUCAAGUAAUCUGUCUCAAAUUGUUUUACAAACUUUAUAAGGAAAACCAGGCAGAAUACUAAAAGAAAAAGAAGAUACUUCCACAGAGAGGAAGCACACAUUGGAGGUCCUAAGAGGAAGUAAUGAAUCAUCUUUCGACUCCGGUGACUUUCUCUUGCUCUCCCAUUUGAGGAGCCUGAGGCAGAGAGUGGAGAAACCAUCCUGAAGCUUGAUUAAAGACCCCAAGGUUUCAGGAGCCAUCGCAAAACCCAAAGAAAAAGGUGUUUCUCUGCCUUUGUGUGGUUAUUACAUGCAGCCCAGUUCUCCUUGAAUGACCUUGCGUGUUCAGUCCUGAGACUCAACAGGGAAUGGGUCCCAGUAAUCCACCUGAUUGGGAGGUCAUGUGAACCAGAGUUGCAAAGCUCUUAGAGAAGUUCUCUUGUUCCCUGGUUUCAAGCUGACUCAGAGGAGAAGAUCCAAAUAUUUGUUUUCUUGCCCACCCUACCCCCCUUACCCUUAAUGUUUAAGCCUUGAUCUUAAAUAUCCAGCAAUCCAGUCUUAAAAUGUAUUACUAUUUUACUUCAUAAAGACUUUCUUACCCAGUGGAAGUCCUUUCCAGCAUCUGGAUGACCAUCUUAAGCAUCAGCUGCCAUCUUAAAAAGUUUGUGUAUGAGGCUCAGAGCUACUCUCAAAAUCUCCAGGAUGCUCAGUGCUUUUUUCAGCUUCAACUGGAGCCCAAUGUGGUACCUGGACAUCUGAAACAGGGACCCUUCUGGAUGUGUUAAUGGGGAAAGGGAUUGCUUAUGACCUGGAGCAGGCUGAUGUGUGUCUUUCACCAGAUGCUACUGAUCCCCAUUGUUGUUAAAGAAACAAUACUACACUUCCUUCUUCAAGCUCUACAAAAAAUAACAGAAAAUUGUUGCUAGUAAUGGGACUCCUUGCUGCUGUAAGAAAAAGGGGGAGGAUCACUCUUGUGGGUAAGGUUAUAAUGGGCCUCAUGGUAGUGGGACAAGCAGUUGGAGUCCCCUAUUAGAGAUAGAUGAGUCAAGAUGUCCAUGGUAAAAGUCUGAUUUGGGAAGAACAGGUUGUAAAGUCAUCUUGAGGUGGAUGUGGGAAGCCACUCCUGAGCUAUUUAGUGACUUCACUUGGCCUUGAGCCAGGGAGAUUUUGGUUUGGCAUUGCAAGUCAUUUUGUGGCUUCUCCCACUUCAUGAAUUAUGCAAUGCAAGUGACUUCAGUCUUACCUUGGCUGAAGGGGUUGCUCUUGUAGCUUCAGAAUUAGGUAUGACCCACUGGGCCUGGACAGCCCACCUUCUACCUUAUUUGGCAGAAGAAUAUUGUAUGGAAAAUCUUUGAAGUUUCUCCAGACAUAAUAAAGCAAAUUUGGACUCUCUCUUUUCAGUGUGGAAGCUUGAUUUGUAAGGCCAAAGAGCCAUCCCACCCUGCUUUUCAAAAUUACUUUCUGUGUAGUGUGGUUUUUCUGCUGCUUUCUUUUCUUGGCUGUAUUUCCCAGCUAGACUGCUUGAUGCAAAAGAAACCCCAAAUUCCAUCACCUGUGCAGGAUGUUGUGGGGAGCCACUCCAAAUGCAUGCACCUUUAAGUACUGAUGCACCACAGGGAUCUGAAAGAUUACUGUAGUCUGGCAUGGUAGUGCCAUGGAUCAUGUCUUGGUCUUAUUGUGGGCUGAAUUGUAGAAAGUAAGUGAAUUAGAAGAAAAAAUGUGACAUUAUACUUUUAAUAUUUGGGAAUAUUUUGCCUUUAGAAAGAGAAAAAAAUAAUUUUUAUGAUUCUAGAGACUCUAAAUAAAUGUAAAGAAUUAUUAAGAUGACUAAUGGGAUAUGUUGUUAAGUUCAGUCCUCUCCCAUGGGCAAAGCACUUCUGUGGACUUUUUUGAACUGUUUUUAUGAAUCUUUAUAUUGUAAAAUAUUAGGUAACAUUUUUUGGGGGGCUUAUGUACUAGAAGUCUGUGCUUAGAGAGUGAGAAAAAGGAAAGAAGGAAUUUGUGAUGAGAAUUGAUACAAGGAUUCUUUACAUGUAGUGAAAUGAAUUUUAUUUUUCUAUUGUUUUUGUGAAUACUCAGACAGGUUAUUCUGAACCUCUUUGCUACAUUCUUGACCUACCACAUCAGAAUCAAAAGACUUUAGCCACUGUUCUAUAAUGGGGUCUGUAACUAGACCCACCACCAGCAGUGCUUUUAACCCUUAAACAACCUGAACUAGGUGCCAAACGCAAACUGCCUUAAGAUCUGAUAGUAAUACUGGCAUCUGCUGUUAAAACACACAUUUUAAAGUCCCACAUGCUGCAAGGGAAAAUAGAAAAGACAGAAGAACACCAGCUGCAUCAAGCACAGGGAGCAGAGACAAGGCAAGCUGCCUCCCACCCUAGGAUCCUCCCCAGCUGCAGAAAAUACAAACAAAUCAAAUGGAAUGCAAGUGGCCAGGGAAGCUCAGGGAGCCUUUGCCCCAGACAAUGAGCAGCUGGUCCCUGUGGUUUUCAUCACCAAGGUAACAACAGGAAGCCUGGAAGGCCCAGAGAUUUCCUGGUCCUGCCUACUGUAUUUUCCCGGCUUCCCAUUGGUCCUUUCACUGUCACUCAGACAGGACUUCUGGUCCCACUUUCCAGCCACUAACCUGUACUUCCUGUUUUAUCCCUGCUACCAGGAGCUGCACAGAGACUGCAUUUUAAAAAAUAUCCACCUAUAAAUACUAGUAAAAGAUCUUUUUUAGACAAAAUUUAAUUCCACAUGCUUCUACAUUGCAUCCCUGAGCGUAACUUUUUCAAAGUUUCUAAGGAAAAACCCAGGAAGAAUUCUAAAAGGAAAAGAAGAUACUUCCACAGAGAGGAAGCACACAUUGAAGGUCCUAAGAGGAAGAAAUGAAUCAUCUUUGGCUUCUCUUGACUUUCUCUUGCUCUCCCAUUUGGGGAGCCUGAGGCAGAGAGUGGAGAACCCAUCCUGAAGCUUGAUUAAAGACCCCAAGGUUGCAGGAGCCAUCACAAAACCCAAAGAAAAAGAUGUAUUACAACUUUACUUCAUAAAGAGUCUCUUACCCAGUGGAAGAUCCUAGCUUAGCAUCUGGAUGACCAUCUUAAGCAUCAGCUGCCAUCUUAAGAAAAAGCUGGUGCCCAAUGUGGUGUCUGAACAUCUGAAACAGGGACCCUUCUGAAUGUGUUAAUGAGGAACGGAGUAGCUUAUCACCUGGAGCAGGCUGAUGCAUGCCUUUCCUCAGCUGGUACUGAUCCCCAUUGGGACAAUAGUAACUCCAUUUCAAAAGAGGUAGAUUACCUUAAAGACAUCAUUAAAAAGGUCCAACUGGAUUAUGGAAGUUUAGAUACUUGGAUUAAACAACUAGUCAUAGGGACUCCUUGCUGCUGUAAGAAAAAGGAAGAGGAUCACUCUUGCUGCUAUAGGUUAUAAGGAGCAUCAUGGCAUUGGAACAAGCAGUUGGAGUCCCCUAUUAGAGAUAGGGUGGGUCAAGUUGUCCAUGGUAGAAGUCUGAUUUCUGAAGAACAGGUUGUAAAGUCAUCUUGAGGUGGAUGUGGGAAGCCACUCCUGAGCUAUUUAGUGUCUUCACUUGGCCUUGAGCCAGGGAGAUAUUGGUUUGGCAUUGCAAGUCAUUUUGUGGCUUCUCCCACUUCAUGAAUUAUGCAAUGCAAGUGACUUCAUUCUUACCUUGGCUGAAGGGGCUGCUCUUGUAGCUUCACAAUUAAGCAUGAAUCAUUGGACCUGGACAGUCCCCCUUCUACCUUAUUUGGCAGAAGAACUUUGUAUGGAAAAUCUUUGAAGUUUCUCCAUAUAUAAUAAAGCAAAUUUGGGCUCUCUCUUCCCAGUGUGGAAGCUUGAUUUGUAAGGUCAAAGAGCUGUCCCAUACCUACUUUUCAAAAUUACUUUCUGGGUAGUGUAAUUUUUCUGCUGCCUUCUUUUCUUGGCUGUAUUUCACAGCUAGACUGCUUUAUCAAAAAAAAAAAGAAAGAAAGAAAGAAAGAAAGAAAGAAAGAAAGAAAGAAAGAAAGAAAGAAAGAAAGAAAGAAAAAAAGAAAGAAAAAAGAAAAAAAAAAGAAAAAAAAUUCCACCACCUGUUUAGGAUAUUGUGGGGAGCCACUCCAAAUGCAUGCACCUUUAAGUCCUGAUGCCCCACAGGGAUCUGAAAGAUUACUGUAUUCUGGCAUGGUAGUGCCAUGGCUCAUGACUUUAGAGAUAGGGUGGGUCAAGGUGUCCAAGGUAAAAGUCUGAUUUCUGAAGAACAGGUUGUAAAGUCAUCUUGAGUUGGAUGUGGGAAGCCCACCUCAUCGUGGGCUGAAUUGUAGAAAGAAAGUGAAUUAAACAGAAAAAAAAAUCUGUGACAUUAUACUUUUAACAUUUGGGAAUAUUUUGUCUUUAGAAAGAGAAAAAAUAUAAUUUUUACAAUUAUAGCAACUCUAAAUAAAUAUAAAGAAUUAUUAAGAUGACUAAUGGGAUAUGUUGUUAAGUUCAGUCCUCUCCCAUGGGAAAAGCGAUUCUGUGGACUUAUUUGAUUGUUGUUAUGAGUCUUUAUAUUUUGAUAUAUUAGGUAAAAUAUUUUUGGGUUUAAUCUACUAGAAGUCUGUGCUUUGGAACGUGAGAAGAAGAAACAAAAGAUUUUGUAAUGUUGGGGCUGGGGAUGUGGCUCAAUCGGUAGCACGCUCACCUAGUGUGCGUGCGGCCCGGGUUCGAUCCUCAACACCACAUACAAACGAAGAUAUUGUGUCCUCGGAGAACUAAAUAAAAUGUUAAAAUUCUCUCUCUCUCUCUCUGUCUCUCACUCUCUCUUUAAAAAAAAAAAAAAAGAUUUUGUAAUGAGACUUUAUACAAGGAUUCUUUACCUGUAGAUAUAUGAAUUUUAUUUUUCUAUUGUUUUUGUGAAUACUCAAUUUAUGCUGAACCUCUUUGCUACAUUCUUGACCUACCACAUCAGAAUCAAAAGACUUUAGCCACUGUUCUAUAAUGGGGGUCUGUAACUAGACCCACCACCAGCAGUGCUUUUAACCCUUAAACAACCUGAACUAGGUGCCAAAGGCAGACUGCCUUAAGAUCUGAUAGUAACACUGGCAUCUGCUGUUAAAACACAUUUUAAAGUCCCACGUGCUGCAAGGGAAAAUACAAAAGACAGGAGAACACCAGCUGCAGCAAGCACAGGGAGCAGAGACAAGGCAAGCUGCCUCCCACCCUAGGACCCUCCCCAGCUGCAGAAAAUACAAACAAAUCAAAUGGAAUGCAAGUGGCUAGGGAAGCUCAGGGAGCCUUUGCCCCAGACAAUGAGCAGCUGGUCCCUGCUGUUUCCAUCACCAAGGUAACAACAGGAAGCCUGGAAGGCCCAAGCUGGUUUCCUGGUCCUGCCUCUUGUAUUUUCCCAGCUUCCCAUUGGUCCUUUCACAGUCACUCAGACAGGACUUCUGGUCCCACUUUCCAGCCACUAACCUGUACUUCCUGUUUCAUCCCUGCUACCAGGAGCUGCACAGAGACUGCAUUUUUAAGAAUAUCCAUCUAUAAAACUAACAAAAGAUCUUUUUCAGGCAAAAUUUAAUUCUCAGGCUUCUACAUUGCAUCCCUGAGCCGUUUUCAAAGUUUCUAAGGUAACUUACUAAGUUUUUUCUUUAUUCUGUAUUAUUAAGAAAAAUUGCAGAGAUAAUGUAACAAUUUAUAAGAAAUACAUAUGCUUCUUUAUAUUUUGCUUUUAAUUUUGAAGGUUAUGAGGAGGCAUUUGCUUCUCACAGGAAUAAAAGCCGGAAAUGUUCCUGUGAUAAUCAAAGGAUCCUCAUUCUCAUUCCUGAGUAUAUAAUUACAAGACAUAAGUAAAUGUAUACAGAAGGAUCUUAAUAUGUUACAGCAGAAAUAUAAAACAAUGCACUACUAACCCAACAAAAAUUAAAAUGUAUCCAAAUAUAAUAAGAACCACGUGGUUGCAUAAACAUAAUACAAUUAUAAGUUAUGCCCUUAUUCUUAAUACAUGUUUUUCUAGGGAUUUGGAUAACCUAUAGUUGUUAAUUCAUUUAAAUAAUUAGCAUAUAUGUCUAAUUAUUUAAUUAGUGCAUAUUUAUCUAAUUGUUUUUCUUCAACAGAAAACAUAAUUUAGAUAGUACUUAUACAUGCAUUUCUCUCAUGCUCUGCCUUUUAGUUACAGGUAUUUGAGAUAAAUGCAUUUUACUAUAAGUUUACUUUCAGGAGAUAAUACAACCAUCAAGUAAUCUCUCUCAAAUAUUUGUACAAGCUCUAUAAGGUAAUAAACAAAUAUAAUUAAUUCUGUCUACAGAAAUAUACAAUGGGUUUUAACUAUAUUUUCAUUGCUAUAUUUCUUCUUAUCAAGGUACAAUAAUUUGUUAGAUUCUAAGGUUUUCAAAUGCUGUUCCAAAGAAAAAUCAGGAAGAAUUCUAAAAGGAAAAGAAGAUAUUUCCACAGAGAGGAAGCACACAUUGGAGUUCCUAAGAGGAAGAAAUGAAUCAUCUUUGGGUAAAACAAGGUCUUUGUAUUCUGGAUUUUAAUGAUAAAAGUAUUUUCCUAAAAAAGGAAAUCUGUAUAUCAUUAUGUAGACAGAUGAUAUAGAAAGUUAAAACAAUUGAAAAAGAGAUUUAUAUGUACUGGACUGUCUAAAAAAUUUAACUAAUUCAAGAGUAUUUCAGGCUAUUUUCUUGAUUUUCCUAUGCUGAUGUGAGUUAAGAUUUUUGUCCAUAUUUUGACACAAUAAAGACCUACUAAAAUGUUAUGUGUAUUUCCUUUAAGGAAGGUUUCUAUUGCUAAUGAUUCUUAUUGUUACAGCAAGAAUUAAUUUUAGUAAAUAAGUUCACAUCUUUGAUUAAACACUAAAUAUAUUAAAAUACUGACUUAGAUUCCAAAUUUGAUAAUCAUCCUUCGAGACUAAAUUUGAUUGAUUUAAAGACACUGCUGAAAUUUACAAAUUACUUUUUUUUUUUUUUUUUUUUGCUGGAUAGUUGUGAGAUUUGGGAGAACAUUGAUGUUCUCCAAAUUAAAGUAGUACAUUGGUUUUGAGCAAUAAAGGUUGCAAACUUUGUUGGAAAUUCAUUGGUAUUAUAUAAGUUCUUUGAUUGGACCUAUUAUUUAUUAAAAAAAAUGGUAAGAUUUACAUACUACUCCCUAUACUGGGAAGUAAGCUUAAUCAUAUUUUCUCAAAGACAAUUAAGAGACACCUAUUUAAAGGAUAAUAUUCUGAGAUAUAGAAAUAUUUUGGAAACUUCUCUUAAGAAGAGAUUGAGGGCUCCCUAUAAUUUAAAUUACUGAUAUUAUAAUUUAUACCAGCCUCUUAAAUAAAGAACAGGGGAAAAACAGGCCCCCACAAGCACAGGUUAGGUAAUAACCUAACGCUCAGUGAGUUGGCACACAAAAGGAUAUUUUGAUGUUUGACUUCUACCUUCAAAAUAUUUACACUAGAUCUUACAAAUAUUUUUUAAAAUUUUUUCCUUAAAUUAUAAUAUUGAGGGUUUUAUUGUUACUCAACAUGAUUCAGUAAAUUAAAUCAGAUUUCAAAUGAGAGUUAAAAUUUCUCAUCAUGAAAAUGACUGAAAAGCCUGAAAUAAAAAGGUAAAUCUCCCAACUGCAGAGUUUAGAGCCAUGCAGCUUCAUGAGCUUAUUAAGCAAGUAAAAAUUAUGAAGAGAUUUCUAUGGACUCAUUUCUCAGGUCCACUUUUAAUGUGCCUUGAAGUAUGGACUGGAAAGUCCACCCAUGAACUAGAUUAAUUGUACUGACUGUAAUGUUCAAUUAUUCCUAUAUGUUGAUUUUAUGGUAAACAGAUUGUCUGGGAGUAUCUUUUGAUACUCCCAGAAAAAGACAGCAUGUAAGAAACCUAAAGCAGCCAAUCAUGCUGGUCCUUAAAAUUAAGACUAUAUUUACUUUUCUGGAUAAUUGUCAGAAAGAUUAUUAAAAUGCAUUUUUUUCUAUACAGCCAGUUAUUUACAUAAGAUAUCCACCAACAUAUUAUUCUCCUACUCAUUCUACAAUAGGAAUUCACACCUAAGUCAAUAGAUUGUGCAAAUGUCUUGCCAGUUCAACACAAGACAUCUAAAAAUAGUGGAUAUAUUUUAGACUGGUCUCCCAGAAUAGACAAAGCUGAUUAUGCAAGGAUGCCAUAACACCUGGAGGUUUAUUGGUAAUAACCUAACCCUCAGUGAGUUGGCAUCCAAAAAGAUGUUUUGAUGUUUGACUUCUACCUUCAAAUAUUUACAUUACUGACAGACCUAAGAAAAACUCCUUAAAUGUAAGAAUUAACUGAAAGGAUGAUGAAUAUCCUGUAGCCUGUAAGAAUACAACUUAUCUUAUUAUAUCACUAGUUAUUGACAGCUAAUAUUUCAGACCUAUAAUAUGCUGAAGUUAACAUUCAGGCUUUGAAACACGGGCAUGCCAAUUAACCAGACCUAGGAAUCUCCUGAUCUCACAAUCCUUGAAGUUACUACAUUAAGUAUCAUUCCUUGCUUCUCUAAUUAUAGUCUUUAUGACUAUUUUUUAAACUUACAACAUUUGAAUUUUCUUAAAAAUUGACUUAAGUUACUUCAAAGAUUCUUCAUAGACAGAUAAAUGCUCUGGAAGACAAUAUACUGAAUAAUGCAAAUGCAAAUGAGCCUUCUGCUCUGUGGUUUGUGGAUAGGCUUAAAUGCUAUGCCAAUUAAAUAUAUCGGUGUUACUAUGGCUAAAUGCAAUGCUUCCCAAUAAAAUUGAUAAAAGAUUAAAAAUCUGAUGAAUGUUUGUCAGAGUAAUAAUAAUAACCUUGGAUCUUGCAAGUUGACUAUAUUAUUGAAAUGAUAUGUUUUCUACUAAUUCUUUCUGUGUUUCAAUAGUAGAUUAUGAUGACCUUGGACCAAGAAUCCAGUGACUACAAUGUACAAUACCUCAAUUGCCUUUAAAUAUUAAGAAAUAGGGAAUUUGUUCAGGCACCUUUAGUCCUGAUGCACCAUGGGGACCUGAAAUAUCACUGUAGUCUGAGGCAGCAGUGUCAUGACAAGUACUCCACCUUUUCCCAUGGUUGGAUAAUAAUGCAUGGCCCUGGGAGUAGCCCAAGGAGUAGGUAGAACCCAGAAGGGUUGAGUGUGGGGAGCCACUCUAAAUGAUCUGCUCCUUCCAUCCUGGAGGGGAGAUGCUUUGACUGGCACUACAUAUCGUAGUGACCUGGAUGUUGCUCUGGUCUUGGAAGUUUGAAAGCAUGUCUUCAGACAUAAGCAUGUCAUCCCCUGGCCAUUUGGGUUGAAUUACACUCACAUGUCCUUUGUAACCCUGCCACCUCUGACCUUUUUUGAAUGGAACUUUCUAAGAAUGUCGGUCCCCCAAUAAAAGCCCACUUCUCAAUAUGCUCUCUCACCAGCCGCUCUUGACUUUCUCUUGCUCUCCCAUUUGGGAGCCUGAGGUAGAAAGUGGAGAGACCAUCUGAAGCUUGAUCAAAGGUAAAGUGUGUGUCUGUGUUUUCUUUGGUGUCCCUGGAAAUUCACAUGAGUGACCUUAAGCUACCCAUGUGAACAGCAGUUGAGCUACACUCACCUGUUCCCUUGUAAUCCUACCCCUUGUCUCAUUUGAAUGGCUUCUUCCCAAUUAAAGGGUUCAACCUGUGCUGCUCUCUCUUUUUCCACAGACCCCAAGAUUGCAGGAGCCAUUGCAGAACCCAAAGAAAAAGAUUCAGGGUGAGUCUCUGAAUCUUCCCAGGAAACACUGGGCCCAUGGAACUUGAGCCUUGCUCUGUGAAUCCCAGGGCUUUCUCUGGGUCUCUGAGAAGACUCGUGCCUUUUGCAGAAGCACAGAAUGGAUCAGCAUCUUCCCCAGAGCCUCUUGUGAUUUUCUUUUAUUCUCCCUUCUGCGGAGCUUGAGUUCAAGAACUGGGGAAAGCCAUCCUGAAACUUGUAUAAAGCUGGUGCCCAAUGUGGUACCUGGACAUCUGAAACAGGGACCCUUCUGGAUGUGUUAAUGGGGGAAGGGAGUAGCUUAUUGCCUGGACCAGGCUGAUGUGUGUCUUUCAUCAGCUGUUAUUGAUCCCCAUUGUUGUUAAAGAAACAACACUACACUGCCUUCUUUAAGCUCUACAAAAACUGAACAGAAAAUUGUUACCCGUAAUGCUGCUGCCCAUGUGGUGUCUGAACAUCUAAAACAGGGACCCUUCUGGACAUGUUAAUGGGGGAAGGGAGUAGCUUAUCACCUGGAGUAGGUUGAUACAUAUCUUUCAUCAGCUGCUACUGAUCCCCAUUGGUAAGCUAUGGGAAAUUACCUAUCUGAUGCUUAACGAUGUCACUGGGCUGAGCUCUCUUUUUUUAUCUUACAAGGCUGGACAUGCCAUAUGUAAUGCUGACCUUGCUGCUUUGCUGUAAGAAGUAAGUUCUUGUUGCUUUUGGUACUCAGAAAGUGGUUAUUUAAGUUGAGAAGAUUGGGAAAAUGUAGGUAAGAGGCUCACGAGAAGGUUCGAGCUCCCAUUACAUGCUUGUCCUCUUUGUCCAAUGCUAUUUGUCUCCCAGCAAACACCUCCUCCUCUGUCUGCUACCACCCACCUGUCACUUGUGAUCCAGACAUUCUUUAUGGAGGUGUUCCCUCUGCCUUCAAUGUCUCCUCCUCCUUCUCUGCUGCCACUACCACCACUGGUUAGAUCUUGUUUGAUGAAUGUUUACCACAAAUGGAUCAGGAGGGAGAAACUCACACCUUUGCUGUUUGUCCUAUUAGGCUAAAUCCUGAUGGACCGGCAGAGUAUAAGCAAUGAUCUUUUGCUGCAUAAAUGCAUUCAACUGUCAUGUAUAACUAAUUAAAACAAAUAUAUAUUUUUUUAAUAAAAAGAGCUGCUGGGGGAAUGAGAUGGAUGGACAUCAUUACCCUAGGUAAGUGUAUGACUGCACAUAUGGU